UGGGGGAAUUUUUGGACAAUGGGCGAAAGCCUGAUCCGGCAAUGCCGCGUGUGUGAAGAAGGCCUUCGGGUUGUAAAGCACUUUUGUCCGGAAAGAAAUCCUUGGCUCUAAUACAGUCGGGGGAUGACGGUACCGGAAGAAUAAGCACCGGCUAACUACGUGCCAGCAGCCGCGGUAAUACGUAGGGUGCAAGCGUUAAUCGGAAUUACUGGGCGUAAGCGUGCGCAGGCGGUUUGCUAAGACCGAUGUGAAAUCCCGGGCUCAACCUGGGAACUGCAUUGGUGACGUGGCAGGCUAGAAGUAUGGCAGAGGGGGGUUAGAAUUCCACGUGGUAGCAGUGAAAUGCGUAGAGAUGUGGAGGAAUACCGAUGGCGAAGGCAGCCCCCUGGGCCAAUACUGACGCUCAUGCACGAAAGCGU
rnacentral:rRNA from 1 species